UACGUAGGGCGCAAGCGUUGUCCGGAAUUAUUGGGCGUAAAGAGCUCGUAGGCGGUUUGGCAAGUCGGGUGUGAAACCUCCAGGCUCAACCUGGAGUCGCCAUCCGAUACUGCUAUGACUUGAGUCUGGUAGGGGAUCACGGAAUUCCUGGUGUAGCGGUGAAAUGCAUAGAUAUCAGGAGGAACACCGGUGGCGAAGGCGGUGAUCUGGGCCAGUACUGACGCUGAGGAGCGAAAGCGUGGGGAGCGAACGGG
rnacentral:rRNA from 1 species